rnacentral:rRNA from 1 species
UGCGUAGGCGGUUCUGUAAGUAUGGUGUGAAAUCUCCCGGCUUAACUGGGAGGGUGCGCUAUAAACUGCGGGACUAGAGUGUGGGAGAGGAAAGUGGAAUUCCUGGUGUAGCGGUGAAAUGCGUAGAUAUCAGGAGGAACACCGGUGGUGUAAACGGCUUUCUGGACCAUAACUGACGCUGAGGCACGAAAGCGUGGGUAGCAAACAGGAUUAGAUACCCUGGUAGUCCACGCCCUAAACGAUGCAUAUUUGGUGUGGGUCAUUCAGUUGAUCCGUGCCGGAGCUAACGCGUUAAAUAUGCCGCCUGGGGAGUACAGUCGCAAGGCUGAA